CGACCAUCACCCCCUGCUGCCGCGCUUUCCUUGCGCUGGUGCUCACACCUGUUCUCUGGUUCACCAUCUUCCUAGAUUUCGGCCUUCAAAGAGCCCGGGGAGGGACUGGAGAGAGAAGGAGGCGCCAAGCUCGACAUGCUCGCGUCAUCUAACGUCGAGCUAGAGGCCGACGGAGGGCUCCAUGGUGCCGGCCUCCUCUUCCCGCGGGACAAGCGCCGGUGAAUCGUAGCAAGCGCAGAUGGGAUGCCAGCGAGGAUGUCAUACUUUGGGCCUAGCACUUCCGCGCCUCUCCAACGCUCACACAUCUCCACAAGCUGGCAUGCUUCAUUUGUAUGCAACCAAUCAGACUCAUCGUCACGGUCCACCUGAGAUGCAUACUCCUGAACAUGUCUCGCCAUACCUGUAAGUAGUUGCACCUCCAAAUUCAGCAUUUCUAACAUGGCGCAUAUAUGUUGGAAGCAUAGAACACAUGACCUUGUUUAGUAGCCUGGGUGACUCCAGAUAUUCUGGUGACCUGUGUAGAGCAUGGUAUGUUUUCAUCAUUCACAUCGGCCGUUGCCUGUUUUUUAAGAUCCCAUAGUUCACGUCGGCGUUUUAAAAUCUCAUAUUUUUUAUUUGCAUACCGCUCCCUAUCCCUCUGCCUUUUUACCUCUUUAGAAUCUGCAUACACAUGAUAAGUUAGUAUGUCAGAUAAUUACGAAUGUCAAAUAAUAACGAUCAGCUACCUUGACUUUGCCCGUUGGUUAUAUCUUGGAAUGGAGCCCGGGAGGAAGAUGCCAUACCAAAUUUAGGUUCCUCUACCCUGUAAAAUUAAGAGGGAUUAAAACUUCCAGCCAGCAAAUUGUAAUAGCAUCAAUGAAUAAUUGUGAAAUAUUGUAUUUUUAGCUUUAAUUUAUAUUUGCAUAUAGGUAACUGAUUGACAUCAUAGUCACCAUUACAUCUCCACAUGACACUUUCUGCUUAUUGAUACAAGCAAUGACUCCCGAGUAUGGUUAACUUUAGUGCGAACAUACUCUUUGGUUUUGAUCGCCAGGAGUAAGAUGACAUCAAUUGGCCAUCCCGCAAGGAUAUAGUUAGGGUUCCAGGAUUGUGUGGAAAUAUCAUGUUACCAGUAUAUUUUCAGCAGGGCCGAUUGUCUGAAGAAACCUGAAGAAAGUUGUGCAGUUUGGCCUAGUCCCCGGCGUGCUGGCGGCCUGGAUUCUGUGUCGUGGAUGGCGUCCUUGAUUCCCUUGCGUGGAGGGCGGAGGGCUUGCCCGAAAGCGAUUGGGCAGCAGUGUGACGACGGCGAGAGGACUCUAUCGUGGACGGUGAUAGUGCAGCAGGGCGACGGCGGCGAUUUGGAAGAGGAGAUGUGGACGCUACUGGGCCACCAUGGCGAGAGGGAGGCGUGCUGGACGUCGAGAACUGCUGCUGGGCGACAAUGGCGAGAGGGCGGCAGGCGGCGAGAGGAAGGCGAUUUGGAAGAGGAGAUGUGGACGCUACUGGGCGACGACGGCAAGAUGUGAUGGUGCUGGAUGUCGAGAACUGCUGCUGGGCGACAAUGGCGAGAGGGCGGCAGGCGGCGAGAGGAAGGCGAUUUGGAAGAGGAGAUGUGGACGCUGCUGGGCGACGACGGCAAGAUGUCAUGGUGCUGGACGUCGAGAAUUUCUGAUGGGCGACAAUGGGGAGA